rnacentral:lncRNA from 1 species
ACAAAUUUAUGUUUAAUAGAAUCAGAAAACAAAUCGGUGCAUUGGACUGAGGGAAGAAGGAGACAUGGAGGCUUGAGGAAGAAGAGGGGUAACAUGGUAUUUUCUAGAGUAUAAUCUAUUCUUAUAUGAUAGAUGAUAAAUACAGGAUACAACAUGACAUAACAAACAUUUAAAGUAAUCACUCAAAAAUCAUGCAUAAAAGAUAAUCGAUGAGUUAUCUUGUUUUGACUUAAAUAUGAC